UAAGAGUUUUAUUAUAACUACAAAACAUGUAUGUUGUCAUUGUAUUUCUCUUUUAGUAUUGUCUCGAUAUAAAAGUAAGUCAAAGCCAUUUUUAUAGAUGGAAGGUAGAUUCACAAAUUACGCAGUUACUCCCCUUUGAUAUAAUUAAGCCAUGAAAUCAUCUGAAAGUUUCCAAUGUCAUUGAAGAACACACGAAGUUUACCGACGAAUUUGCACAGAUUUUUAGAGUAGAUUGUACCAGAAGGCAAUGAUUGAGGAUAGCUAUUCAUACUGAUAAUUAAUCUGACAAGUGGCUGUAGAGUCCCAAUGCACCACCAUGUUGACAUGGUACGUGCCAUAAAUGCAUUAUAAUUUAUUCUCAUCUGUUUAGAAGACACUUCAUUUGGCUUAGUCAGAAUGGGACCUUAAAUGAAGAUGCAUUAUUGUACCGUAUAUGAAACAACACAAGAAUGAUCCAGAAGAAGUAAAACUACUCUGCACAUACUCCACUACUGAGCCCUGCCUUACAGGCCUUGUUCCCAAGCUAAUGCCAGCUGAGCUGUGGAUACACCAGUAAGUUUGAACAUAAAAUGUGUAAUUCAACCAUUG